rnacentral:lncRNA from 1 species
CAGUGUCUUCUUGUGUUCAGUCUUAAUCUUCACAAAUGAGCCUUUUGGGGUAUCCCUGUGCUUGGCUUCUUGGAGGGAGUAUCUGUGUAGGGCAGUAUUGCCAGACAGCCCCAAGAGCCCCGCCCCUGGUGUGUGCAUUCUGCAUCAUCCCCGAGAUUGUGAAUAUGAUGGGUUUUACUCCAUCAUUGGGUUGCAUCAUAAGGCACAGCUAACUUUAAGAAAGGGAGAUUAUUGGGAUGGGCCUAACCUAAUCAGGAGAGCACUUAAAAGGGAUGGUUCUUCCCAGAGAGAGACUCUAAGUGUGAGAGAGAUUCGAUGCGGGAGCUCUGUUUCUGGCUUUGACAAUGGAGGAGGCAUGUGGCAAGGAAUGCGGCUGGCCUCUAAGAGCAGCCCCUCGCUGACGGUGAGGAAACAGGGACCCCAGUCCAACAGCUGCAAGGAACUGAGUUCUGCCAUAACCAGGUGAACUGGAAGAGAACCCGGAGCGUGAGGCGAGAACACAGCCAGCCGACACCUGACAGCUGAUUUCAGCCUAGUGAUAGACAGCUGAGAUGCUGAUGCUUCACCUGCCAGCAGAGAAGAGGGGAAAAGAUUCCAGGACUCUUCAUUUAAGUCAAC